CUUGCAGGUCAGGCAGCCGCGGAGGCGUUCGCGCCUUCGAGGAAAGUCCGGACAUCACAGGGCGAGGUGGUCGAUAAUCGACCCGGGGAAACCCGCGGGAAAGUGCCACAGAAACAAACCGCCGACGCGCGCCGGCCCACGUGACCGGCGAGCGGGCAAGGGUGAAACGGUGCGGUAAGAGCGCACCAGCGUCGCGGCGACGCGGCGGCUAGGCAAACCCCACCCGAUGCAAGGCCAAACAGGACCGCCUGCAGGUGCCCGCCGAGGUCCAGGUAGGCCGCUCAGAUGGAUGGCUGCCCAACGACAGAAUCCGGCUUAUCGACCUGCUACGGGA
rnacentral:RNase_P_RNA from 1 species